rnacentral:rRNA from 1 species
GAUGAACGCUGGCGGCGUGCUUAACACAUGCAAGUCGAACGGGAAACCUUUUGAUGAAGCUUCGGCAGAUUUAGCUGGUUUCUAGUGGCGGACGGGUGAGUAACGCGUGGGUAACCUGCCUUAUACAGGGGGAUAACAGUCAGAAAUGACUGCUAAUACCGCAUAAGCGCACAGGACCGCAUGGUCCGGUGUGAAAAACUCCGGUGGUAUAAGAUGGACCCGCGUUGGAUUAGCUUGUUGGUGGGGUAACGGCUCACCAAGGCGACGAUCCAUAGCCGGCCUGAGAGGGUGAACGGCCACAUUGGGACUGAGACACGGCCCAGACUCCUACGGGAGGCAGCAGUGGGGAAUAUUGCACAAUGGGGGAAACCCUGAUGCAGCGACGCCGCGUGAAGGAAGAAGUAUCUCGGUAUGUAAACUUCUAUCAGCAGGGAAGAUAGUGACGGUACCUGACUAAGAAGCCCCGGCUAACUACGUG